UACGUAGGGUGCGAGCGUUAAUCGGAAUUACUGGGCGUAAAGGGUGCGCAGGCGGUUCUGCAAGUCAGGCGUGAAAGCCCCGGGCUUAACCUGGGAAUUGCGAUGGAGACUGCAAGGCUUGAAUCUGGCAGAGGGGGGUAGAAUUCCACGUGUAGCAGUGAAAUGCGUAGAGAUGUGGAGGAACACCGAUGGCGAAGGCAGCCCCCUGGGUCAAGAUUGACGCUCAUGCACGAAAGCGUGGGGAGCAAACAGG
rnacentral:rRNA from 1 species